rnacentral:rRNA from 1 species
GACGGGGGGUCCAAGCGUUGUUCGGAAUCAUUGGGCGUAAAGCGUGUGCAGGUGGUUUUGUAAGUUGGAUGUGAAAGCCCCGGGCUUAACCCGGGAAGUGCAUUCAAAACUGCUAAACUUGAGUAUGGAAGAGGGUCGUGGAAUUCCUGGUGUAGUGGUGAAAUACGUAGAUAUCAGGAGGAACACCGGUGGCGAAGGCGGCGACCUGGUCCUAUACUGACACUCAUACACGAAAGCGUGGGUAGCAAACAGG